GACGAACGCUGGCGGCGUGCUUAACACAUGCAAGUCGAACGAUGAACCGGUUUCGGCCGGGGAUUAGUGGCGAACGGGGGCGUAACACGUGGGCAAUCUGCCCUUCACUCUGGGAUAAGCCCGGGAAACUGGGUCUAAUACCGGAUACGACACUCCGAGGCAUCUGGGGGGGUGGAAAGUUCCGGCGGUGCAGGAUAAGUCCGCGGCCUAUCAGCUUGUUGGUGGGGUAAUGGCCUACCAAGGCGACGAGGGAUAGCCGGCCUGAGAGGGGGACCGGCGACACGGGGACUGAGACACGGCGCAGACUCCUACGGGAGGCAGCAGUGGGGAAUAUUGCACAAUGGGCGAACGCCUGAUGCAGCGACGCCGCGUGCGGGAUGACGGCCUUCGGGGUGUAAACCUCUUUCAGCAGGGAAGAAGCGAAAGUGACGGUACCUGCAGAAGAAGCACCGGCUAACUACGUG
rnacentral:rRNA from 1 species